GAUGAACGCUGGCGGCGUGCCUAAUACAUGCAAGUCGAGCGAACAGACGAGGAGCUUGCUCCUCUGACGUUAGCGGCGGACGGGUGAGUAACACGUGGAUAACCUACCUAUAAGACUGGGAUAACUUCGGGAAACCGGAGCUAAUACCGGAUAAUAUAUUGAACCGCAUGGUUCAAUAGUGAAAGACGGUUUUGCUGUCACUUAUAGAUGGAUCCGCGCCGCAUUAGCUAGUUGGUAAGGUAACGGCUUACCAAGGCAACGAUGCGUAGCCGACCUGAGAGGGUGAUCGGCCACCCUGGAAUUGAGACACGGUCCAGACUCCUACGGGAGGCAGCAGUAGGGAAUCUUCCGCAAUGGGCGAAAGCCUGACGGAGCAACGCCGCGUGAGUGAUGAAGGUCUUCGGAUCGUAAAACUCUGUUAUGAGGGAAGAACAAAUGUGUAAGUAACUAUGCACGUCUUGACGGUACCUAAUCAGAAAGCCACGGCUAACUACGUG
rnacentral:rRNA from 1 species